rnacentral:rRNA from 1 species
GCUUAACACAUGCAAGUCGAACGGGACUGAUUGAAAGCUUGCUUUGAAAAGUCUAGUGGCAAACGGGUGAGUAACGCGUAGGCAACCUGCCUCUAAGGAUGGGGACAACAGCCCGAAAGGGCUGCUAAUACCGAAUGUUGUGAGUUUUCCGCAUGGAGAAUUCAUUAAAGAUGGCCUCUACUUGUAAGCUAUCACUUAGAGAUGGGCCUGCGUCUGAUUAGCUAGUUGGUGGGGUAACGGCUCACCAAGGCGACGAUCAGUAGCCGGUCUGAGAGGAUGAACGGCCACAUUGGGACUGAGACACGGCCCAGACUCCUACGGGAGGCAGCAGUGGGGAAUCUUCCGCAAUGGGCGAAAGCCUGACGGAGCAACGCCGCCGUGAGUGAAGAAGGUCUUCGGAUCGUAAAGCUCUGUCGAAGGGGACGAACGUGGGUUCUAUCAACAACGGGACCUAAUGACGGUACCUUUCAAGAAAGCCACGGCUAACUACGUGCCAGCCGCCGC